GACCGCUUAAUAGCUUGCUCUUAAGAAGUUAGCGGCGGACGGGUGAGUAACACGUAGGUAACCUGCCUAUAAGACUGGGAUAACUCCGGGAAACCGGGGCUAAUACCGGAUAACAUUUUGCACCGCAUGGUGCGAAAUUGAAAGGCGGCUUCGGCUGUCACUUAUAGAUGGACCUGCGGCGCAUUAGCUAGUUGGUGAGGUAACGGCUCACCAAGGCGACGAUGCGUAGCCGACCUGAGAGGGUGAUCGGCCACACUGGGACUGAGACACGGCCCAGACUCCUACGGGAGGCAGCAGUAGGGAAUCUUCCGCAAUGGACGAAAGUCUGACGGAGCAACGCCGCGUGAGCGAUGAAGGCCUUCGGGUCGUAAAGCUCUGUUGUUAGGGAAGAACAAGUGCUAGUUGAAUAAGCUGGCACCUUGACGGUACCUAACCAGAAAGCCACGGCUAACUACGUGCCAGCAGCCGCGGUAAUACGUAGGUGGCAAGCGUUAUCCGGAAUUAUUGGGCGUAAAGCGCGCGCAGGUGGUUUCUUAAGUCUGAUGUGAAAGCCCACGGCUCAACCGUGGAGGGUCAUUGGAAACUGGGAGACUUGAGUGCAGAAGAGGAAAGUGGAAUUCCAUGUGUAGCGGUGAAAUGCGUAGAGAUAUGGAGGAACACCAGUGGCGAAGGCGACUUUCUGGUCUGCAACUGAAACUGAGGCGCGAAAGCGUGGGGAGCAAACAGGAUUAUAUACCCUGGUAGUCCACGCCGUAAACGACGAGUGUUAAGUGUUAGAGGGUUUCUCC
rnacentral:rRNA from 2 species